UGACUCAAAGUGAGGCAGCUCCCGCUGGGCUGAGGCACUGAGACUCUGGAAGCUUGGGCUUUCUUUCUCCACGGUCCACAUUUUAUCUGCUCAGGCUCUGUGAACAGCAGUUUGCAACCUGAGAAGUCACAUCGUGGAAUAACUGAGGCACCAAGCAGCCUCGGGGGACCCAAGGACCUGGGGUGGGCAGCUUCCCACUGGGAACAAAUAACUUCAGAGGAAUCAAGAGGCAUUCGACACCAUAUGUGCAAGACAGCUUUGCUGAGAACAUCUGGGAGAGGCCAAUAUUAGGACUCCACCCUGGCUCACUAUCUGUUACAGACUGUAUCAGGCUCCAGACUUCAGGAAGAGAAAAGCCAGAGGAGCCACAAACACAUCAGAAGCUGCAUUCUGCUAAAAAGUCACUAAUUCGGUUGGCUGAAAAAUGUCAUUUUCAACAGCCAGUCUACAUCAAGUUCAAUCGCCUUCUGAGAUUGGACACCCCAACCUUUUUCUAUCCAGCACAUCCCUGAGAUCAUGCACUUCCUUGGGGCUUCAUAAUUAUUAAAUGUAGCCAUCAAAAAUGUUAAAACCAUUAGAAUUGGCCUGAAUUCUAGUUUCCUUCCCCUGUAUCUCUAACUAAAGCAUUUUGUUUUAAAAUA